AAAGUGUUCGGAUUGGAUGGUUCGACUUUUGCCAGACCUCGCUCGACCGCACGCGAGGAGAGGCUGCGCUUCAUGCUGCGAUCGAACGGGUUAUCGCGGCAUGCAUCCAGAAUCACGAGACGCAGUUUCUUNGGGAUCGAGAAUCCGCACAAUGCGGUCGAGCGACACCGCCUCGUCUUCCACGUCGAUGUCGCGUUCAAGCCGGGCAUCGACAGGGAUCAGAUAGUUGAUGCCAUCAACCUCGAUGCCGUGACC
rnacentral:misc_RNA from 1 species